AGAGUGAAAGAAGUAAGUAAGAAAUUAUUAUUAGACUGGAGAAUGAUACUCCACAUCCCCAUUAAGGACUUUUUUUUUUCAAUGUACUCGAGUGUUGUUGUUUCUGUUAUUGUUGUGAUGUGUGGUUGCAUGUUCGAAAUGUAAUUAGAUAAGUUGUCAACAGACAUUCUAACUGAUUUGUCAGUCGAGAAGCAUACAAUCUCUCUAUUUUUUAAUUUCUUAAUUUUGGUGUCAAGAUCACGGGUCUUAUUCUUUGUUCGUUUUUGUUUAUGCCUUUUGGGUGUAAUUAGAGAAAGCUGACAGGAUUUUGGAUUUAGUAAGGGUAAACUUUGCUGUACUGGAACGAAAACAAUUGCAGCAUGGAAGGUGUUUAUAAGCCAUUUAAGAAACACACAAAAACCGUUAGAUUCACUUUAAUAUUUAAAUUUAAUUUGUCAAAAUAUUUUCGUUGUUUUGAGACUGCGACUUCACUGACAAAAUUCCGUGCUGCAUCUGAGAAAGUAACAGUUAGUUCAUGAUAUAUAUGUACGUACGUACGUAUGUAUGUAUAUAUGUACAUGUAUGUGCGCAUGCCUAUACGCAUGUAUGUGUACAUGUGAGUAUUUAGGAGAAAUAGACGUGUCUGUGUGUGUACAUGUGUAUGUACUUGCGAACGUAUGUUUAUGUAAUAUGUGUCAGUUCAAUUUGUAUACUUGACUGUUACCUUGCCACUCGCUAUGCAAGUACAUCUCUUUCUCUCUCUCGCUCUCUCUUUAUAUAUAUAUAUAUAUAUAUAUAUAUAUAUAUAUAUAGAGAGAGAGAGAGAGAGAGAGAGAGAGAGAGAGAGAGAGAGAGAGAAGCAGAUUGUAACAUAGAUAAAUAUAUAGACAGAAAUAGAUAGUCAGAAGAAGAAUAGACAUACCAACUACCAAACACCUAGAAAGAUAGACUGCUUGAUAGCUCGAUAGAUAUAUAGAUAAAUAGAUAGAUGCUUAUGUUUUUUUAUUGCUACUCGUCACUCAUUUUGUCCAUUUUAUGUUUCCCACCUGUACUGCCCUUUGUAAAGAAUUAGCAAACAGCUGUUUUGCAAUAAAGGCUUGAAUGGAUUGAGAGCCAUAUGAUAAACUGGUGAAGGAAGCAUGGAUUUAAACUCUGCCUUAUUAGUUGCUCAUUGGUGAAAUAGCAUAAAAAAUAUUGUUUAUGGUUAAGAUUUCUUAAUCAAUAUCAGUUUCUAUAUUAGUGUAUGCAUCUUUAGUGAAAUGAUGAUGAACUCUCUUACAAUAUGACUAUGUGAAUUGCUGAAAUUAUGGUAUAUUGUAAAUUUCACGAAUAUUUGAAUGACAGGAAAGCUAUCCUGUUUCCUAACAUGCAGAUUUAUUUUUCCCAAGUCAUUUGAUUAAUUGGUCAUGUUUGUAAAACAGGGGAAUGCCUCAAAUUUUAGAGGAAGUGGUUAAUUGAUUAAAUUGAUCUUAUUACUUGACUUGCACUUUUUUUUAUCAACCAUGAAAGGAAGAGAAACAAAGUUAGCCUCAACAGGAUUUGAAACUAGAAUAUAAAGAGCUGGUAGAAAUAUUGGAAGGUAUUUUGCCAACACUCUAACAAUUGUGCCUCUCCACCAUCUUAAGUUUAAUAGAAUAAAAUCUGUGAAUGAAUUUUGAUGAAUUUCUUGUGUAGUUUUAAUGAAAGUUGGUCUCACAUUGCUUGCAUUUAUAUCUUUCCUGAGACAUGUAAAAGUUUCCAUUUGUAUAAUACUUGGCUGCUUGUCACUUCAAAUAAAGAGUAGUGAACUGAUAUUAAAGCCAAAAUUUUCCUUUCGCUACUAUUAGGAUGUUUUUCAUUUUUACUUUCAGGGUUAACAAAUGAAUGAUUAGACUUAAUGGUUUACAUGCGAACUUUUGUUUAUUUUAUAUCCUUCUAUAUGUUGGAUAUGCAAAUUUCACGAAGCGGGGAUAGACACAACUGUCUUCACACAACCUACUUCAGAUUACUCCACUAAACACAAUACUCUAAUAAAUAGAAACUCUGAACAAUGUCAACAACUUCCAUGAACUCCCAAUGACUCUCUUUGUCUCAACCAAUAUGCUAAUUUUUUUAUAAGAGUUUUGCUAGUCCAUUCUUCCAAUCCCAUAGGGGUGCCAAUGACACUCACCACAACAGUUUAUACAUGUAUAUUUUACCAAAACAAGUAUCCCCAUGCGAAGCUUCAC
rnacentral:lncRNA from 1 species